CCCCCUGAACGGAGGCUCAACUUGUGAAUCUGCGCUCUGCUCGCCAAUCCCUUCACAAGUUGUGGGAUUAGCCAAGGGGGAAUCCAUGAAGCUAAUAUUGGUGGGARACCGAUAGCGUACAGUACCGUGAGGAAAGAUGCAAAGAACUUUGAAAAGAGAGUUAAAUACGAAAUUGAAAGGGAAGCGAAGGAAACCAGUGUUGUUGCGCAGUCUACUUCUCCGUCCGCUCGCGGUCGGGCGCGUGUCUGUUGGCGCUUGCUU
rnacentral:rRNA from 1 species